rnacentral:sRNA from 1 species
UUCGUGAACUUUUACGGUGCUACUCAUA